UUGAUAGGUCGGGAGUGUAAGUACAGCAAUGUAUUGAGCGGACCGAUACUAAUAUGUCGAGGGCUUGACUUA
rnacentral:rRNA from 1 species